GAGUAGACAUGCGCCCUUCUUGGACCAAGGUGCCGGCCUUGCCCCAUAUUUCUUCGAAAUGGCCGCGCAGAGAGUGGAGUGACGUUCGAUAUCUUGAACGUAGACCGACGACGUCGGUGUCGAAGAAGCCUCGACGACGACAGGGCCGACGACGCCGAUGACACUACGCUCCUCUCUCUUUCUGUUCUUUCGAGGGAGGUGAAGAGAAGUGCAUCGAGACGCACUGGUCUAUACAAAGACACGGAGUUGAUUACGAGAUUAUAAUAACGAGAUCGUAAUAACUCUUCUUGCGGAUGGAUUCCACAGAUUUUGACAUUACACCUAUCUAAUAAUAAAAAGAUACUAUCGUAACAUAAUUAAUUAUGUCCAUGUCGCAUAAAACUUCUUACGAGAUAAUAAAUCGGACUAACGACCGUUGUCAUCUCUGAGAGCGAUGAUGCUCGGUGCGUGAAGUACUAUUGAUUCGCCCUGCAGACAGAAUAGGCAGGCAUCCAUAUUCGAUUUUCAAGCGUGCCCAACUACAUUGUCAUUUAGUGACGUAUACGAAUAAACCUUGAGUUUGAGAUACUGCAUCAAGAGAAAUGAAUCGUCAUCGAAAGUGGUUCAUAGCCAUUGCUAGAAGGGUGGAUCACUCGGUAGGUAGUAGUAGCGAGUAGUGACUGUGGG
rnacentral:lncRNA from 1 species